AUCCAAAAGGCCAGCAAUUCAUAACAUCCUAUGAAGGGUUGUGCAUUAGACAUCAGUCUAACACAGGACAGGCAGCUUUACUGAUACCAGUUAACUGCAAGAGGUCAUGUCACUUUAAUGAUCAUUAUGAAUGAUUUUCUUCAUGUCUGUCACUUAUUUUCCAUCUUUCCGUGUUCAUCCACUCCUGCUGUUUUCUCAUUGUGCUUUGUCAACAAGGUGCCAACAACUACGACGAGGCCGCCGAGUAUAUCCGCACUAAGUUUGAGGACCUGAACAAGAAGAAAGAAACCAAGGAGAUUUACCCUCACUUCACCUGUGCCACAGACACGAAGAACGUGCAGUUCGUUUUCGACGCGGUCACCGACGUCAUCAUCAAAAACAACCUGAAGGACUGUGGGCUCUUCUAGAGCACAAAAAUAGGAAGACGAGUCGAGAUUACUUGAACAGUUUUGAUGACCAGAGGAAGUAGGGGUGGAAUACGUCCUGAGCAUCUGCACUGGCUAACCACGACUCCUGCUUCCACAUGACGGAGUCCGACACAAUUUCAAUGAUUGCCAACAACCUUAGCCUCUGUUCUCCCUCCUUUGACAUUUAAUAUCUGUAUUAUUAACUCCUUGUGCUAUGACCACAAAUCACCAAUUGUUUUAUUAUCCUUUGUCCAUUUUUGUUGUUUAUUUUCUCUCCUUUUGUUCAUUUUUUUAUUUUUGAGAAAUAACAGAGGCAAAAAAUUUUUUAUAUGCUUUUAUUUUACUCUAGGAAAUCUGAUGUGCAAAUUUUAUUCAACUUAAUUGCAUAAUGCUUAUUUUUUAAACAACCAGCAGGCAUUGGAUAUAGAGUAUAAUUGAAAAAGGAAAGCGCUUUUUUUUUUUUUAAUGAUGUUUACAUGACGUCCUUGUUGAUAGCAAAACGGAAAGUUGUCCUGCAUGAUAGAAGAUAGCAAAUAUAUCAAUACAAGUAAUCAGUUCACAUCAGCGUAACAUUCCUUUUUAAGAUUACAUUUUAAAAAGUACAAAAAAAAAACAACAAAAAGCACAAAAAAAGCUUCACAAAUGGGGAAAGAACUGCUAAAAUGUAACUGAUAUUUAAAGUAUGUACGUAACCAUAUCUAACGAUCUUUUUUCUUCUCUUCUAUCUUCCUGUUGCUCUUUCUAGCAUUCUGUUUGUGCCUUGACUUCCGUUUACAAUGGACUUUAUUUUCCCCCAAGUUGUCCUACUGUACGUAAACAUUUCUUCUCCAGAAUUUUCACAUGUAAGAAUAAAUAGUAAUUAAUAAUGGAAAUCUAAUUGAUAAAAAGGGUAGUGUUUUUGUUGUUUCUUCUUUUUUUUUCUUUGUUUUUUUGGUAAAGAUUAAACUUCUUUUGAAAGUCCUAUAUACUGAUUUAAUUUAAAUAAAAGUUCAUUCACUAGA